rnacentral:sRNA from 1 species
GCACUCUUACACCCGACGUCCCCCC